rnacentral:tRNA from 3 species
UGGUGGGUAAGUUAAAUUUCAAACUAUGGGGUUCAUGUCCCCACAAUAUGUUUACAUCUCACUAA